GAUCAUGGCUCAGGAUGAACGCUGGCGGCGUGCCUAACACAUGCAAGUCGAACGGAGUCGAUUUGGAAAAUCCUUCGGGAUUGGAAUUCUCGACUUAGUGGCGGACGGGUGAGUAACGCGUGAGCAAUCUGCCUUUAAGAGGGGGAUAACAGUCGGAAACGGCUGCUAAUACCGCAUAAAGCAUCAAAUUCGCAUGUUUUUGAUGCCAAAGGAGCAGUCCGCUUUUA
rnacentral:rRNA from 1 species